GUUCCCUGUCCUGCUGCCAGCUCGGAGAGAGCUGAUAGCUCACCCGCCGUUUAUCUCUCUCUCCCACCACCCAGCCCUCCCUGUCUGUCCCUCCUUCAAAAGCCAGGAACCUGGUGAUGUUCAGGCUCCCGGUGGCAGGAAAUCCCUCUCAACGUCACAUGGAUGACACUGGGGAGCAAGAGUGGAGGGGAAGUGGAGUUAAGAUAAAAUGGAAUUAAAAAGAAACACAAAUGAAGCUUUUCUGUUUCUGUACCGGCACCCCUGCCUGGGAACAGCACCGAAGCCAAGAUCAAGGGCCUGCUUCGUUAAGGGCAUUCCCACAUUAUUGAAUUAAAUAUUCUCACAGAAACGACAGGACCCAGACAUUCCCACCUCAGCAGACGGUGAGAAAGCUUCGCCUCUUCACUAUUACAGACCAGUGACAACAGGAGAGAGUAAUUUAUGGCUCUCUGGGACUGCUCAAUAUGCUCCUCAUCCCAGGGCUCAUCCCCGAUGUUCCCACCGCCAGCACAAAGGCUGCAGCCGGCCAGCAGUGCCCAGGGGACACCUUGCUGUCACAUGCAGCGAGGAGAUGAGCAGCGAGUGGAAUCCCCUUUCUCCUCCCAGCCCUAUUCUUUCUCUCGAGUCCUCUUUUCUCUCCCUUCACCUCAAUUCUUGCUUGUUGGGGUUUUUUUUGGUUUUUUUUUUUUUUCCCAUCCAAAAAUUGGUGAUGUGGAGCUGGGAGUGCUGUGGCUUUGGGGGUCUGCAGAUGGAUGAGAGAAGAUGGGGAUGUUCUGAGACCCCAGGAGUUCAGGAGGUGGGACCCACACCACCAGUGGAAACCUCCUAUGAGGGUCAGGCACUUUCGAAGUUGUCCCCCCGGUAGACAUUCCUUUUCUCCUGCUUUUGGUGUUAUUCUCAGCCGCUCCAGUGACCUUUCUGGGGAACAAUUUACUAUUGUGUUUUGGUGAAGCCUGGCCUCUAUUUUUACACUCUGUUUUGCUGAUGCGAGCGCAGGGAGAGAGACGAGAAUCCAGCAGGAAAUGGGAGGGAGCGUCUGGAGCGUGGUUAAAACUGCCCCGGCACUUUGAUGUGCCAGGACCGAGCCCGGCUGGCAGCUCGUGGUGGGGCUGGGGGACUUUGCUCCCACCCCAUCCCUCUGGUAAAUCCCACACGGCACUAGCUUAAACCAGCCGUGCCAAGGUGGGAAUGGGUCCUGUGGAAAAGGCUUUUGGCAAGAGUCGUGGUGGUACUAGGCUCCUUGCACACGGCGCAAAAUGAAAGGUGGGUUUCUGCUGUCGUAUUGCUUAAGGGAUGCUGGAAGCAAGGGGAGGAGGUGACUUGGUGAUGGCUGGGAGAGUUCUGAGGAUGUGCCCAAGGGCAUCCAGGAAAGCCGUGGCAGAGCACCCUGAGCUGCAUCAUACAAAACUAGCAGGUUGACAGCAGCUGGAGGCAGCAGGUCUUCAUGUAAGACGCCGCCAAGCCAUGGUUCUCCCUGACGUGUGACCCUGAGCCAGUUUUGGGGGAAGUGAGUGGCUCUAAGAUGCCAAGCAUUACAGCCUAAGGUGGCUAAAAGAGCAUGGCUGCAUGCAUGCCCAGUUCACCCCAUGUCUGUGGCGGGGAACAGCUGACUGUCUGACCCUGGAGGUUUAACUGGGGACACAGACAAACCCUGGAAAGGCAGCGGGGCCAGCUGUGCCCUGCAGCUGUCUUGCUCUCACCACUGUCAUCACCUGCAGCACAGCCUUUGGGGCAGAGGUAGCAUCCUGCUGCCCCGUGGCUUUUCUAGAGAGCCUACCAAAACCAGAUGUAAGGUCUUUCUGCACGUCCAACAGGUCCAACCAUAGCCUCACCCACAUCCAAGGCUGCCUCAGAGGGCACGUGAGCAAGUGGAUGCUUUACAGCAGCUGGCCCAUCUCCAAACCACUUCACUCGCACCCCAUCAGUGAUAUAUCCCUUCACACGCUGCUGAAGCUGAAAUAAAGUGUGUCAACACCUCCUAGUCGUGUGUCUUGCAACCAUCCAUCAACACAGCAUUGCUCCUUAGAGCAUCGGGACUGCCCUGGCCCUGGGAAUGGUGUUGAAGUGGGAGCUGGAGGCUGGCAGGGGUGGCCUGGGGGGUGUCCAGGGCUGGUUGGCAACGUGCUGCUGUGGAUGCUGUGGACAGGAAGCUGCUGCCUGGGGUCGAGAGGGCUCUGUGGGCUUGAGUGUGUGGUUGCCGAACUGGUGCCCUACGAAUGCUGGUUCAGGGAGCGUGUGAGGAAGAUCCCUGGCCGUGGCUCCAAUGUGCGGCAUCACAGGAGGUGUGUUAGUAGUCACGCAUCAGCACAGAUGCUUGUGUGCAUGAGGAGUCACAAACAUACUCACUUCCCAUGAAUACCUGUCCAUGCACGAGCUCAUGCACAUGACAGGUAAGUGUGUGCACUGACCUGCUCACAAAGGCAUGGCCCGUUUGCUCUAACCUCUGUGGUGGUGCACAAACAUGUUCACAAAUGCACACGCUCGUUUUUGCAUGGCCCCACCACAGAAAACAUCAGGGUGGUUUUACUUUUGGUUGCAACAGCAGAAAUCACUCCCAAAUUUCUCC